ACGCUCGACACCUACGGGGGGCAGCAGUGGGGAAUAUUGCACAAUGGGGGAAACCCUGAUGCAGCGACGCCGCGUGGAGGAAGAAGGUCUUCGGAUUGUAAACUCCUGUUGUUGGGGAAAAAGAGGAUGGUACCCAACAAGGAAGUGACGGCUAACUACGUGCCAGUAGCCGCGGUAAUCUGAGCGGGCUGGCAAGGC
rnacentral:rRNA from 1 species